AACGAACGCUGGCGGCAUGCCUAACACAUGCAAGUCGAACGAGAUCUUCGGGUCUAGUGGCGCACGGGUGCGUAACGCGUGGGAAUCUGCCCAUUGGUUCGGAAUAACAGUUGGAAACGACUGCUAAUACCGGAUGAUGCCGAAAGUCCAAAGAUUUUUCGCCGGAGGGUGAGCUCCCGUAGGAUUAGCUAGUGAGUGUGGUAAAGGCGCACCAAGGCGACGAUCCUUAGCUGGUCUGAGAGGAAGGUCAGCCACACUGGGACUGAGACGCGGCCCAGACUCCUACGGGAUGCAGCAGUGGGGAAUAUUGGACAAUGGGCGAAAGCCUGAUCCAGCAAUGCCGCGUGAGUGAUGUAGGCCUUAGGGUUGUAAAGCUCUUUUACCCGGGAUGAUAAUGACAGUACCGGGAGAAUAAGCUCCGGCUAACUCCGUGCCAGCCGCCGCAGUAA
rnacentral:rRNA from 1 species